GGCCUCGUGGCCCAAUGGCAAGGCGUCUGACUACGAGAAAAACCAUCUCAGGUGGGAACAUUCAAGUUAUCAGGAGAUUCUGGGUUCGACCCCCAGCGAGGUCA